ACAAUAAAUCACAAUGCGGGACUAUUCGUCUUGCAAUUGGAUUGAGAACAAUGUACAACUCUUAUCGAUAAGCCAUUGGAGGGCAAGUCUGGUGCCAGCAGCCGCGGUAAUUCCAGCUCCAAUAGCGUAUAUUAACGUUGUUGCAGUUAAAAAGCUCGUAGUUGAAGUGUGGGUGGUGCCUACUUCAUGACUUCGGUUGUGAGGCGGAUCACUACCCCCUUCCAGUAUCCAGUAGUGGGUAUUCAGUUACUUACUACUGUGUGUUGGUCAUUUACUGUGAGAAAAUUAGAGUGUUCAAAGCAGGCGUUUGCUUGAAUAGAUUAGCAUGGAAUAAUAAUUGAAGGCUUUCGUGUUCGAUUUGAUUGGUUUGUUCAUGGAAGCAAGGUUAAAAGGAACAGUUGGGGGUAUUCAUAUUCACUAGUUAGAGGUGAAAUUCUCGGAUUUAUGGAAGAUGAACAA
rnacentral:rRNA from 1 species